AUCUGAAACAUGCUACCAAAGCUGGAGACAAUCGUUUUUUAAAGAAUGAUUUCUGAGUCCCAUACCAACUCCGCACAAACUCGGGUGCUGGAGAGCCUUUCAGGUGCAACAAAGGAGCAGCCAGACAGUGUGGAUGGCACAUUAAGGGGACUCCACACUACCAAGGACUACCACAGGAUCUGUAUACAAUGAAGGCUUCUCAGAGGCAGCAUGUAGAUAAUGGACACUGUUUGGCUCACAUCAUAACAAAAGAUCUUUCCAGCAAGCUGGAGGAACCUGUAAAGGAGGGAAAGUGACAUCAUCAUUUGGCCUCACUCUCCCCACAACUCCACACCUGUAAACAUGUCUGGGGGACAAAGAUUGAACUGGGGAGAUGGUCCCAGGCUGAAAAGGAGAAUCCCAGCUUGUGUCUGAAGGAACUAUACUAUCAGGGACUGAGAAGAAGAAACUCUCCAAUUGUCACAACCCUCCCCAAGAGCAAACAUUAACACAAGAGAGCUGAUCCUUCAGUAUACCUACAUUCACCCAGGAGGAGGAAUGCAGAACUCAUGUAUUCUCUAUCAUUCCUGAAAGGCUCAUGUGAUAAACGUAAGUUAGUCAUCAUGUACAUGUGCAAGAAUGGCUGUACAUAGCCUGUGUUGUUCAAUGCCCUCAGUCAAAGCACAGAUCUGUCAAAAAACUGGACGGAUGUUACAGAACUAUGUUAGGGGCAACCAGCUCCUCAGUAUGAAUCAGCAUACUACCAUUGAAGUCAAUAGAGCUACACCAAUUUACAGCAGCUGAGGAGCUAGGCCUGUAUUUUUAAUACUACACUGUACCUAAAUCAUGAUUCAAGAUCCCUAAUAUCAUCAGCUGGUCAAAGAGAAAAAGACAAAUGUUUUAUGCAGUCAACACUGUUUUAUUUCAAUUUUCACUAGAAUCAAAAGUAGAUAAAUAAGGAAUACGUAUGCUGUUUAUAAAUCUAACGCUUCUCCAUUAUUGCUAUAAUGAAUCCAGGUAGAUGGAAUAUGGCAGACCUAUGCCACACAUCAGAAAUGUGAUUUUAUCUUGGAAAUGAGACAUUCGAAUUAGGGUGUAAUGAUCCAU